rnacentral:rRNA from 1 species
UGGCGGACGGGUGAGUAACGCGUGGGUAACCUGCCUCAUACAGGGGGAUAACAGUUAGAAAUGACCGCUAAUACCGCAUAAGACCACAGCACCGCAUGGUGCAGGGGUAAAAACUCCGGUGGUAUGAGAUGGACCCGCGUCUGAUUAGGUAGUUGGUGGGGUAACGGCCUACCAAGCCGACGAUCAGUAGCCGACCUGAGAGGGUGACCGGCCACAUUGGGACUGAGACACGGCCCAA